rnacentral:lncRNA from 1 species
UUUAAUGUAGAAUUCACAACCAUGAUCUAGCAAAUAAAUGUUAUGGUCAUGGUAUCCUCGUCUAUUUCAAAGUUGAGUAAAGGCGGUUGGUGAAUGAUAUGAUGAAGUACCAUAAAGCACCAAUGUUCAUGAUGAGAGAAUUGAAAGAUCGAAAUCUAGAGAAUUUGACCUGUGUCACACAAGCAUUUAAGAAGUUCAUACACGAAAA